rnacentral:pre_miRNA from 1 species
AGUGGUAUAGCUGGGUCAAAUGGUUGUUUCAUUCCAAGUUUUCUAAGGAAUCUCUAUAUUGUUUUCCAGAGUGGUUGGGCCAAUUUGCAUUCCCACCAGCAAU